rnacentral:rRNA from 1 species
UUAAAUUGAAGAGUUUGAUCAUGGCUCAGAUUGAAUGCUGGCGGCAGGCCUAACACAUGCAAGUCGAACGGUAACAGGAAGAAGCUUGCUUCUUUGCUGACGAGUGGCGGACGGGUGAGUAAUGUCUGGGAAACUGCCUGAUGGAGGGGGAUAACUACUGGAAACGGUAGCUAAUACCGCAUAACGUCGCAAGACCAAAGAGGGGGACCUUCGGGCCUCUUGCCAUCGGAUGUGCCCAGAUGGGAUUAGCUAGUAGGUGGGGGAACGGCUCACCUAGGCGACGAUCC